AUACGUAGGGGGCGAGCGUUGUCCGGAAUGAUUGGGCGUAAAGGGCGCGUAGGCGGCUUUGCAAGUCAGUAGUGGAAGUCCAUUUUUCAAGGAUGGAAGUGCUACAGAAACUGCGGAGCUUGAGUGCAGGAGAGGUUAUCGGAAUUCCCGGUGUAGCGGUGAAAUGCGUAGAGAUCGGGAGGAACACCAGUGGCGAAGGCGGGUAACUGGACUGCAACUGACGCUGAUGCGCGAAAGUGUGGGGAGCAAACAGGAUUAGAUACCCUGGUAGUCCACACUGUAAACGAUGAAUGCUAGGUGUAGGAGGUAUCGACCCCUUCUGUGCCGCAGUAAACACAGUAAGCAUUCCGCCUGGGGAGUACGGUCGCAAGAUUAAAACUCAAAUGAAUUGACGGGG
rnacentral:rRNA from 1 species